CUAUCAUGUAAGACCCCUGGAUCUUCUUGAGGUUCACCUCCUGUGACAAUUGACAGGUCUUAUGAAAAAUUGUUCACCAGGGCAGAUGGUCACAUUGCCAUGGAUGGUGCCGAGACCUGUGACAUUUCCUCCUGCGGCCUGGACAUCCACACAAUGACUCUGGAGGUGAAAUGAGUGAGCAUGACAUCAACAAUAUGAAUGCGCGAUCAGCUUCUGGGAAGGCAUGCGGAUCCAAUGGGCGCACGGACAAGUCGCAUGGAAGCUUCACGUUAACUUUGCUG